rnacentral:rRNA from 1 species
AGAGUUUGAUCAUGGCUCAGGAUGAACGCUGGCGGCGUGCCUAAUACAUGCAAGUCGAACGCUUUGUUUUUAAUUGAUAUGAAGAGCUUGCUCUGAUUUGAUUUUAUCUGACAAAGAGUGGCGAACGGGUGAGUAACACGUGGGUAACCUACCUCUUAGCAGGGGAUAACAUUUGGAAACAAGUGCUAAUACCGUAUAACACUAACAACCGCAUGGUUGUUAGUUGAAAGAUGGUUCUGCUAUCACUAAGAGAUGGACCCGCGGUGCAUUAGCUAGUUGGUAAGGUAAUGGCUUACCAAGGCGAUGAUGCGUAGCCGAGUUGAGAGACUGAUCGGCCACAAUGGGACUGAGACACGGCCCAUACUCCUACGGGAGGCAGCAGUAGGGAAUCUUCCACAAUGGGCGCAAGCCUGAUGGAGCAACGCCGCGUGUGUGAUGAAGGGUUUCGGCUCGUAAAACACUGUUAUAAGAGAAGAACGACAUUGAGAGUAACUGUUCAGUGUGUGACGGUAUCUUAUCAGAAAGGAACGGCUAAAUACGUGCCAGCAGCCGCGGUAAUACGUAUGUUCCAAGCGUUAUCCGGAUUUAUUGGGCGUAAAGCGAGCGCAGACAGUUAUUUAAGUCUGAAGUGAAAGCCCUCAGCUCAACUGAGGAAGGGCUUUGGAAACUGGAUAACUUGAGUGCAGUAGAGGAAAGUGGAACUCCAUGCGUAGCGGUGAAAUGCGUAGAUAUAUGGAAGAACACCGGUGGCGAAAGCGGCUUUCUGGACUGUAACUGACGUUGAGGCUCGAAAGUGUGGGUAGCAAACAGGAUUAGAUACCCUGGUAGUCCACACCGUAAACGAUGAGUGCUAGAUGUUCGAGGGUUUCCGCCCUUGAGUGUCGCAGCU